rnacentral:lncRNA from 1 species
AAACCCACCAUUUUGGAACUGUGGUUAGGAUCAUACGAUUUAAUUCCCUUCUCUUCCAAGUCUACUGGUGAAGUGGAAAAGGUGAAUCUCUUUGUCUCAUUUUGAUUAGGCCUCAGGGCAAUAUUCUGGAAGAAACUCAAGCAGCAUGGAAUGUUAUCUCCCCAUUCAGAAACAGUGCCUACGUUCAUACACUUCAAGUUGUAAAGGGUAACGUGUCCUUUAACCAACAUGGCUCAGACAGCUGAUUAGUCAUCGAAGGCCACAAAACUCCAAGUUUAC